rnacentral:tRNA from 1 species
UAUAUUUAGGUGUAUGAUGCACAGGAGAUUUUGAUUCUCCAGGGAAUAGUUUAAUUCUAUUAAAUAUAA